rnacentral:lncRNA from 1 species
AUUUGAAUGAGGAGUCUCAGCGCUUUCGGCGCCAUUUUCGAGUGAUGCCUGAUCUCAUCAAUCUAGCGGGAGGGAAGGGAUAACCUGUCCGAGCCUAGCGCGACGCUAGGAUCACGCCGGAAAAUCCCCCAAAAAUCAUCAAAAAAAUUAACUUAGAGCAGAGGGCAGUCGGUGGGGCUUCGCCAGAUGCGGCGCAGUCGAUUUUAACCAUUAGAAGAAUACCAGUUCUGGAAAACAACCAAAGUUUCUUUGAUUGAAUGCCCAUGUAAUGCAUUGGAAUAUGAUAGGCGAUUAAGGUUUAACAAUGUUAAAAUGAAGAUAUUACUAAAAUGGCCCUCUAAAUAGCCCAACAAUUAUUAUUUUCUUUGUCCUAUGGAUUUGGCUUUGAAAGAUGUGCUGCUCUUAAUAAGCUUUUCAUUCUGCCGGCCAUACUUUUUCUCCCUACUCUGGACGCCUCUAGAUGACUCCAGCUGUGCUCUCCUUCGUAAUCUACACACCCUCCUCAACCAUACCCUGGACCAGUCAUGUCCUCAUCUCAGACACGACUUUUCUGGUGAGAAACUGAAUUCUUUCAAUGCAUGCUUCCUUAUACCAGAUUGCCUUGGUUUCUCUAUAGUCAAUUUGAAGGCUUAAAUUUGAAUUCUGUAAAUAAAGAUUCUGAAAAACUAGCAUACAAAUUCUUCAUUUAUGCAAAUUAAACUAUUGCUAAUAAACAUUUGUCUUCCCAAA